rnacentral:rRNA from 1 species
GUAACACGUAGUCAACCUGCCCUGGAGACAUGGACAACCCCGGGAAACUGGGAUUAAUCCGUGAUAGGUCAUCUCAUCUGGAAAGAGAGAUGGUUCAAAGGGACAUGCGAGCUUCUUUCGUAUGUCCGCUCCAGGAUGGGACUGCGUCCGAUCAGGCUGUUGGCGGGGUAAUGGCCCACCAAACCUGUAACCGGUACGGGCCUUGAGAGAGGGGGCCCGGAGAUGGACACUGAGAGAAGGGUCCAGGUCCUACGGGGCGCAGCGGGCGCGAAACCUUCGCAAUGCGCGAAAGCGUGACGAGGUUAAUCCGAGUGGUUUCCGCUGAGGAGAUCUUUUGUCGGCUGUAAAAAGGCCGGCGAAUAAGGGGAGGGCAAGCCUGGUGUCAGCCGCCGCGGUAAUACCAGCUCCUCGAGUGGUCGGGGCGAUUAUUGGGCCUAAAGCAUCCGUAGCCGGUUCCGUAGGUCUUCUGUUAAAUCCAGCCGCUUAACGGUUGAUCUGCAGAAGAUACCGCGGGACU